rnacentral:rRNA from 1 species
CGCGCAGGCGGUCGUUCAAGUCGAGUGUGAAAGCCCCCGGCUCAACCUGGGGAGGGUCACUCGAUACUGAUCGACUCGAAGGCAGAAGAGGAGCGGAAUUCCCGGUGUAGUGGUGAAAUGCGUAGAUAUCGGGAGGAACACCAGUGGCGAAGGCGGCUUUCUGGUCUGCUCUUGACGCUGAGGCGCGAAAGCUAGGUAGCAAACG